rnacentral:rRNA from 1 species
UACGUAGGGUGCAAGCGUUAAUCGGAAUUACUGGGCGUAAAGCGUGCGCAGGCGGUUGUGUAAGUCAGGUGUGAAAUCCCCGGGCUCAACCUGGGAAUUGCAUUUGAGACUGCACGGCUAGAGUGUGUCAGAGGGGGGUAGAAUUCCACGUGUAGCAGUGAAAUGCGUAGAGAUGUGGAGGAAUACCGAUGGCGAAGGCAGCCCCCUGGGAUAACACUGACGCUCAUGCACGAAAGCGUGGGGAGCAAACAGG